rnacentral:rRNA from 1 species
GACGGAGGAUGCAAGUGUUAUCCGGAAUCACUGGGCGUAAAGCGUCUGUAGGUGGUUCAAUAAGUCAACUGUUAAAUCUUGAGGCUCAACUUCAAAAUCGCAGUCGAAACUAUUGGACUCGAGUAUAGUAGGGGUAAAGGGAAUUUCCAGUGGAGCGGUGAAAUGCGUAGAGAUUGGAAAGAACACCAAUGGCGAAAGCACUUUACUGGGCUAUUACUGACACUGAGAGACGAAAGCUAGGGGAGCGAAUGGG